CCUACGGGGAGCAGCAGUGGGGAAUAUUGGGCAAUGGAGGCAACUCUGACCCAGCAAUGCCGCGUGAGUGAUGAAGGUAAUUUUAUUGUAAAGCUCUUUUCUUUGGAACGAAUAAAUGACGGUACCAAAGGAAUAAGCCCCGGCUAACUACGUGCCAGCAGCCGCGGUAAUACGUAGGUGGCAAGCGUUAUCCGGAUUUAUUGGGUGUAAAGGGCGUGUAGGCGGGAAAGCAAGUCAGAUGUGAAAACUCAGGGCUCAACCCUGAGCCUGCAUUUGAAACUGUUUUUCUUGAGUGCUGGAGAGGCAAUCGGAAUUCCGGGUGUAGCGGUGAAAUGCGUAGAUAUACGGAGGAACACCAGUGGCGAAGGCGGAUUGGUGGGGGGGAACUGACGCUGAGGCGCGAAAGCGUGGGGAGCAAACAGGAUUAGAUACCCUAGUAGUC
rnacentral:rRNA from 1 species